rnacentral:lncRNA from 1 species
CUUUUUGCGAAGUGGGCUCGUGGGUUGGCAGUAUGAGAGUUGUAAUGGCCCGACUGUUGAGUGAGGGGGAGCAGGGGAUCCCAACGGCUUGCGCUGCCUUUGCGCAGCAGCCGGCGGGCGGCCACGUCGCGGCCUGGCUGGGGUAGGAGAGGGCGGUCCCCAGUGCAGUUGGGUGAACUACCGUUGCACACUGGAGUUUCUGGUGUCUUUGCUUGGAACUGACCUAGCUCGUGGCAGGGGGAACUCGGCUAGCGGCCCCACAGCCCCUGCUGACUCAAAACAACUGAGUUGUAAGACGUUCAUCGCCGUGUUAUCCUUGAGUAAAGGUGAAAUGAACUCUGGAAGCCCAGCCAGGGACAAUGCACCUUCACAGAGAUUCUGCACUAAUCUGAGUGAAGGUCUAAGGUUUGGAAUCUCCCCCUCAUGGAGAGAAGCUUUGUAUGGCUGUCAUGCUUAGACAGUGAUUCCUGCAACUUGACCUUCAGGCUGGGAGAGGUGGAGAGCCAUGCCUGUUCUCCUUCCUUGCUAUGGAAUUUGCUGACACAAUAUCUUCCGCCUGGUGCUGGGCAUAUCCUAAGAACUUACAACUUUCCUGUAUUAUCCUGUGUGAGCAGCUGUCACCUUAUUGGGGGAAAAAUGCCUGAAAAUUAGGGGGCACUUCAAGUAGAUAGCUUCUAUUUCCUAUAUUUGUCUUAUAUACAAGUAUUUGCUUUUAUCAAAAUAAUUCCAAUAAAGCAUUUUAAAGUAAA